GCCCCUUUAGCUCAAUUGGUAGAGCAACGGUAUCGUAAACCGUAGGUUGCUGGUUCAAUUCCAACAAGGGGCU
rnacentral:tRNA from 1 species